rnacentral:rRNA from 1 species
AUGGGGUGCAGCAGGCGCGAAACCUCCGCAAUGCGGGCAACCGCGACGGGGGGACCCCCAGUGCUGUGGCAUAGCCACGGCUUUUCCGGAGUGUAAAAAGCUCCGGGAAUAAGGGCUGGGCAAGGCCGGUGGCAGCCGCCGCGGUAAUACCGGCGGCCCAAGUGGUGGCCGCUAUUAUUGGGCCUAAAGCGUCCGUAGCCGGGCCCGUAAGUCCCUGGCGAAAUCCCACGACUCAACCGUGGGGCCUGCUGGGGAUACUGCGGGCCUUGGGACCGGGAGAGGCCGGGGGUACCCCUGGGGUAGGGGUGAAAUCCUAUAAUCCCAGGGGGACCGCCAGUGGCGAAGGCGCCCGGCUGGAACGGGUCCGACGGUGAGGGACGAAGGCCAGGGGAGCGAACCGGAUUAGAUACCCGGGUAGUCCUGGCUGUAAAGGAUGCGGGCUAGGUGUCGGGCGAGCUUCGAGCUCGCCCGGUGCCGGAGGGAAGCCGUUAAGCCCGCCGCCUGGGGAGUACGGCCGCAAGGCUGAAACUUAAAGGAAUUGGCGGGGGAGCAC